rnacentral:tRNA from 1 species
GGUAAGGUGGCUCAGUGAUAGAGUGUUUGCCUUGCAUGCAUGAGGCCCUGGGUUCAAUUCCUCAGCACCA